rnacentral:rRNA from 1 species
AACGAACGCUGGCGGCAUGCCUAACACAUGCAAGUCGAACGAGACCUUCGGGUCUAGUGGCGCACGGGUGCGUAACGCGUGGGAAUCUGCCCUUGGGUUCGGAAUAACUCAGAGAAAUUUGAGCCAAUACCGGAUGAUGACGAAAGUCCAAAGAUUUAUCGCCCAGGGAUGAGCCCGCGUAAGAUUAGCUUGUUGGUGGGGUAAUGGCCUACCAAGGCGACGAUCUUUAGCUGGUCUGAGAGGAUGAUCAGCCACACUGGGACUGAGACACGGCCCAGACUCCUACGGGAGGCAGCAGUGGGGAAUAUUGGACAAUGGGCGCAAGCCUGAUCCAGCAAUGCCGCGUGAGUGAUGAAGGCCUUAGGGUUGUAAAGCUCUUUUACCAGGGAUGAUAAUGACAGUACCUGGAGAAUAAGCUCCGGCUAACUCCGUGCCAGCAGCCGCGGUAA